AUGUUUAUUUCAUCACUUACUAUACUGUGUACUAACUUGUUUAUGUGCAGGAAAAGAAAGAAGAGAGCACCAAGAUAUCCAGCUGAUGAUGAUGCCUCGGCACCGGAACUUGAAGUGGCAGCCCAACAACCUGAAGUUGUUGUCACUCCCAAUAGGCACAUGAUCACUAUGCCACAAAGUCUUCAAGGCAGCCCCAUUCCAGUGACAAGAAGGAUGUUGGCUAUGGCGUUGGCUGAUGAGGCAACACAUGUAGCACCACAACUUGAAGUUGUUGUCACUCCCAAUAGACACAUGAUCACUAUGCCACAUAGUCUUCAAGGCAGUCCCAAUCCUGUGACAAGAAGGAUGUUGGCUAUGGCACUGGCUGAUGAGGCAUCGCAGCAACCUACCUCAACCGUGGAGGACACCAUGAUUGCAUAUGACAUGGUCUCAAGCUCAAAAGCUAGAAAGUUGACCCCGAAGAGAAGGAAGUACUAG
rnacentral:rRNA from 1 species